CCCUACUACGAAUACACCAUCUGCACCACAAAAAUCAGCACCCACUCUGUAACAGGUGGGAUAUCCUUUUACAGUAGAUGAAAUGCCCUGCUUGGUUGAUAAAAUUGGCCCAUCUUUCCUCCUUCCAGGACCUUCUACCAGCAUCGCAUUUCCUAAAUCACUUCCUUUGAAAGAACACAGUCCUUCCAAAAAGCUCUCAAGCUGUUCUAGUGUCUUCAGCAAAGACGUCCUGGGGCCUCCCGCUGUGUGAUGCUAUCAGAUCGCCCCUCACUGCUGGAGCCGGUGUUCUUGGUGAUGAAAGGAAGAGGUUGGGGCAAAGGCGAAGUAUGAGGCCUUGAAGCCUCUGGCACCUCUGGGAUGACUUCUCAGCGACUUGCUGUGAACUGCUUCCCCACCACCUGCCUUGAGUAGACUCUGGCAUUCAGUGGGCAAUUUUCUCAUGAUCCCUAGAGCCCAGCCCUGCUUUCCUUCCUACCUGGAUGACUCACCUCUUGAUGACCAGUGUUUGAAUUUAGCCUUGGAGAUGGAGAGGGACUGGAGGAGGAGAAGAGACGUUUCAGUCCCAGAUGAAUUCAUUUGGAAAAAUAAGCCUCCAGAAUUUGAGUAAAUCUCCAUAUUAUCCUGAAAGAGUUUUGGGUCUUUCCAAAACCCAAGUAACAUCUGUGGAUGCCCCAUCUCUUCAAGGUCAAACACUCCAUGAUUGUAGAGUGAAAGGUUUCCUGUGCAGUCUCUCCCAAGCCCCACAUUCAGAGAUGCGGGGCUGCCCUCUGUGUACCUUUCUGGUGUCACCCCUCAGAGCGACUGGUUCUUUCCCCAAGAGAGUGUUUUCUUUUAAAGUUCACAGUGUUCACUUUUUUGUUUGUCUUUCUGUUUAUGUGCUGCAAGGAGAACUCUGAAUUCGGAUUGCAGUCCUACCGGUUAGAUAGUUUUACAUUCUUCCUGAAAUUUUGCAGAGUCGCUUGUAGCACUGGGAAAAUUGGACAGCAGAAUUUUUAGAUCCCCGGGCCACCAAGGGGCAUGGGCAGGGAGUAACCUGGUCUUCAGAGCACUCACAACUUCCCUUUUGUUAGCACUUCCAGACUUUCCCCCUUUUUGCAUGCUAGUAGUGUUUAUUUUUCAAUGAAAUAUUUCACUCAUACAAACAGAAAACAUAAUGCAUGGAUAUUAAAGAAUAUAAAAUAAAUACUCCCAGAGCCAUCAUCCGACUUAAGAAAUAGAAUGUUCCCCAAAUGGUGAAGCAGCUUCUGUGUCCCCCCAUUAGCGAUCCCUCCCCGCCAAGGGAAUUUAUAUUUAUUGUUUGAAAGCAUACUUAGUAAAAUAAAUGCAUUUUAGAAA